rnacentral:rRNA from 1 species
UGGGGAAUAUUGCACAAUGGGCGCAAGCCUGAUGCAGCCAUGCCGCGUGUAUGAAGAAGGCCUUCGGGUUGUAAAGUACUUUCAGCGGGGAGGAAGGGAGUAAAGUUAAUACCUUUGCUCAUUGACGUUACCCGCAGAAGAAGCACCGGCUAACUCCGUGCCAGCAGCCGCGGUAAUACGGAGGGUGCAAGCGUUAAUCGGAAUUACUGGGCGUAAAGCGCACGCAGGCGGUUUGUUAAGUCAGAUGUGAAAUCCCCGGGCUCAACCUGGGAACUGCAUCUGAUACUGGCAAGCUUGAGUCUCGUAGAGGGGAGUAGAAUUCCAGGUGUAGCGGUGAAAUGCGUAGAGAUCUGGAGGAAUACCGGUGGCGAAGGCGGCCCCCUGGACGAAGACUGACGCUCAGGUGCGAAAGCGUGGGGAGCAAACA